CCCUCACGGUUUCCCCUAUGACCAUGCUCUGCGCUCUGCGUCACCUCCGUGCCACAGCCAGAACUACUGCAGGCGGAAGCAGUGGGAGAUUGACACCGCCCCCACCCCCUCCCUUCCAGUCAGCAACGCGGUGGCUACGUGACGCACAGAAUCACUCAGCACGGAAGGCAGACGUGGGAGCUGGAGAAUGGCCGCAAACCAAUCCCCGCCGCUUUAAGCUCUCUGGUCCCUCCACAUCCGGGAGGGGGCAGAGUCACAUCGGACAAGGACCGGAAGAACCUCCCCCGGAGCCGAUCCCUGCCUUCCACCCUACAACGUGGGCCUGCUCUUGGCGCCAGCCUUGUGGAGCGCCCUCAAAGCCUCCACUGUGGCCAUGCUCUGCGUCACUUACACACUGCAGCCACAGCUACUGCGGGCAGAAGCAGGAGGAGAUUGACACCGCCCCCACCCCCUCCAUUCCAGUCAGCAACGCGGUGACAACGUCAUGCACGGAAGGACUCAGCACAGAAGGCGGAUGUGGGAGCUGGAAAAUGGCCGCCUGGCCUGGGAGCUCAGCUGCCCCAGGGAGCCAUCGCUGGAGCCAAGGACAAGCCCCACUGUAGCAGAAGUGAUUUCAACCAGACUCCACAUGGAUGAGACCCUGCAGAGCUCAGUCCCUCCUUGCAGAAGACUUUGCAGUAGAGGACCUAAUGAUCUUGAACAGCUGGAAAUAACUGGAAACACCACCACACUGGCCAGACCAUCUGCCCGGAGAACCUACAAACAGGAUCAACAGCAUCUAGUGAUGUAGCCGUCAACUGUGGCAUAAUCAGGCUCACCUGAAAGAGAAAGCACAAAAUAAUUAGGUCUGCUUAUGAGAAAUGCUCAUUACAAGAUUCUGCACAGGACGGAAACACUGGCCACCUGUGUUAAAGGGAUGGAAGGCAAUGGUGGACGAGGCUGAAAGAGAUGUCUUGAUUCUAUGAUUCUAUGGUUUGCUGAAAAACCAAGGCCUUUCACCAAGUUCCAUCACUAAAGUGUCACUGCAAAUUAUAUAGCUCAUGGUGUUGAAUCAGGCAAAGGGCCAAACUGCAGAGACUGGGGGGAUCCCAAGUUUGGACAUCAUUAAGCUCCAGAUAUGACUAUACUCAGGGCUUUGAUCAGAACUUCUCCUUAGUGAAACCUUGCCUCCAGAGUCAGACUCCAGCUUCCCAGGUUCUUUCAGGGGGGACAGGACUUCUCCUAAACCAUUCUCUUUAGAGAGCUAAAGCUCAUGAUCUGAUGGGGAAGAGCAAAAGCAGAGAGACCUGAUACCAAGGAACAUCAUAGUGGGGUAACAUGAAGCCAGAGGGCACUGCAGAAAUAGUUGAUCCAUUCACACUCCUGGGUCUCAAAGAACUGAAAUGACACAGACAAAACAGCCCUAACAUCUGUGAGAAGAGAGCAAAUCUCCUCUAUUCUGAUCUCUUCUCAUCCCACUGCAAAGAUCUCUGUCCACAGCAAGGAGCAGGUGAUGUUGGUCUUCUGCAGGAAACAUGGUAACUAACCAUGAGUCAUAGAAUCAUAGAACCAACUAGGUUGCAAAACACCUGGUCCAGAGAAGAAGUCAUCCCUUUGCACACCCACGUACUUCAAAGAUGAGCAUUAAGUUCUGGAAGGUCUGCAGGGCCAAUGUGGAAGGGGUCACUCAGUACACCAGUACCUCUGGGGAGAUGAAGCCAGCUUCCUAAGGGCACUGCAUGUUCCUUGGUACCCCACCCAUGGUCCUGCAGUCCCAGCUGACUUCUCUCCCUCAACUAUUGUGCAAUAAAAAAGCAUUGGGGAUCUAUGAAA